GUGAUGACGUCAGCAUUGACGUGUUCAUUCAGCGUCGAGUCUUCAGGGCUGAGGUGAGUCGUUGACGCUUUUUCUCGUGUUUACACAACAAUAAAACACACUUUACAGUUUAUUAAAGCGACAAUCUGCGACUAGUUUCUGCAUUGAGUUCACCUCUAUCUGUGUGUCUGCUGACCAAAACAAUACAGCAGGCGGAGAGGAGCUCUGAGGGGAAAUAUGUUUGUGUUUUUCCACAUAUUUUUUGUUUAUAGUCUAAAGCUCAUCAAUAUUUUAUUUUUCAUUCAUUACAUUGAUGUCUUCAGAUCAGCACAGGGUGAAGAUGUGUGAUCCAGAACCCUGCCGAAUUAAAGAGGAACAGACUGAAGAAAUAAUAGAUGUGAUAGUGAAGGAGGAGAGUGAAGAACUGAGUGAGGAUGAGGAGAAACAUCAGGUCAGUAGUGAAAUCAAAACUCCUAAUAGUUCUUUGAUGAAAAUAAACACCAUAAAAGGUUUCACCUGCACUCAGUGCGGAAAGAGUUUCAGCCAAAAACACUCUCUCAAUGCUCACACGAGGAUCCACACUGGAGAGAAACCGUACCAGUGUUCACUCUGCGGCAAGAGAUUCAGUCGGUCAGGACACCUGACAAGACAUGAGAGGACUCACACUGGAGAGAAACCGUGCCACUGCACUGCUUGUGGGAAGAGUUUCUCGGGUUCAUGUUCGCUACGGAAGCACAUGAAGAACAUUCACA
ensembl:processed_transcript si:dkey-4c15.14 si:dkey-4c15.14